UUGACGGGACCGCACAAGCGGUGGAUGAUGUGGUUAAUUCGAUGCAACGCGAAAACCUUACCCACCUUUGACAUGGCAGGAAUCCCGAAGAGAUUUGGGCGUGCUCGAAAGAGAACCUGCACACAGGUGCUGCAUGGCUGUCGUCAGCUCGUGUCGUGAGAUGUUGGGUCAAGUCCCGCAACGAGCGCAACCCUUGCCAUUAGUUGCUACGAAAGGGCACUCUAAUGGGACUGCCGGUGACAAACCGGAGGAAGGUGGGGAUGACGUCAAGUCCUCAUGGCCCUUAUAGGUGGGGCUACACACGUCAUACAAUGGCCGGUACAGAGGGUAGCCAACCCGCGAGGGGGAGCCAAUCCCACAAAGCCGGUCGUAGUCCGGAUCGCAGUCUGCAACUCGACUGCGUGAAGUCGGAAUCGCUAGUAAUCGUGGAUCAGAAUGUCACGGUGAAUACGUUCCCGGGUCUU
rnacentral:rRNA from 1 species